rnacentral:lncRNA from 1 species
GCUAAACAGACUGCUGCCGUGCUAGCUGGCUAGGUCACUCUGUACUCCCGGCUCCCAGCCACCAGCUGUCCCAGACAAGUGCAUUCUGGCUGCCGCUGAGCCACUUAGAACCGUCUGCCCAGCUGGGAGACUUCCACAGACCUCUUGCAGUUUCUAGCUGCAGGCACAGGACUGGCUCAGACUGUGGCCUACCCGAACCCUGAGGCCUCUGCCCUAGAACUGGGUAGGCCUCAGCUUUCAGCAACAGCUUCCCCUGGCCACUGCUGCAUAAAGUCGUAAAGCCGUGUCACUUUCACUGGUUGCAGCCACAAGGCCAUAUACUUUCUAAGAUAAGCGCAGCCGCUUUUGUGACCUCUCUCCACGGCUACCACCAUCUUGCCUGACCCACCGCUGCCAAACCCCGUGCCAAGUAGCUGAAUGCCUGCACCACCUGCUGGUCAAAGAUACUUACUGCAUCUGCAGUAGAAAUCAGGAGAAGAAAAACUUUGGAUACCAUUAAAGUUGAUCAAGAUUCACAUUGAAAAGGAAAAACCUCUCGACGAGGACAAAUGACAGGUAUUCUACUAAGGUAUGUCUUAUAAGCUAAAUAGAAACCUCACAAAGGAAAGGGAAGUGUUUUGCUUUUAUCUUCACAGGAAAACUCAUCUCCAGAAGGCCAAGGACACUGCAUGGGUAGAUACGUAAGAAGAGAAGGUAGCUUAACCAUCAAACAAAAAGAACAUGCCAUGCAGUAAAUUUUACAGCUGUCUCUCAGAGAACUCUAUUUCUUUUUCUAGUCCCUAUUCAAUUAAAACAAUGCUGGAUUUACAGGUAGAUUUGGCUUUCCUCCUCUAAAAUCCAAGCACGUUGUUUAACUAAACUUUAGAGUUUCUGUAUUGUAUCAAGAAGCCAAUUGAUGUAAUACAGAAUAAGAGAAUUUGGGGACUAUCUUUGUCUUUUCUUGGCUCUUUCCUUCAAGGUAUACACCCUCUCAUAGUUGUUAUUAUCCCAUGGUUGCCUUUCCCAGUAUGUGUACAUACACAAGCAAACAUUUCUCUGCUAACUGUUUAUGUUUGAGUCCCACACAGCCAAUGAAGACCUGCCUGACAGCAAUUCCCUGGACACCCGGGAAAGAAAGUGGGCCAUACCUCCUCGACUGCACUGGAUCCAUCUUGCUCCAUUUCAACUGACAUUCUGGUCAGAGGUUUGGGUACUAACUUCAAUCAAGUUGAGGAUUUCAAGCGAGAUCUUCAAUCAAGCGAAUCCCAUUUAACAUGGACUGGAUACAAUCCAUUCAAGAUUUUCACUAUACUAACAUUUUCUUCCUACAGGACCCCACAAGGAUGUCGUCAUCCCAUUUCAGCAGGAAGUAACUUGGAGAAUGCUAUGUCCCCUUUCCCCCAUUGUUGUCACUUGGGAUAGUGUAUAUACCUAGUUAGGGAUAGCUUCCUAUUGUUUAUGGUUGAGAUUGGACACCUCUUUCAGAUGACUUUAGGGUUUAGUUAAACUAGAUAGUUAGGGUGUGACAUAAGCAGAUUGUUGUAUCUUCUUAUAUUUCACCUUUAUGAUUGUUAAUUUUGGAUACUUUACACUGUUAAGUUUUAAUCCUCUUUUAGACUAAAAGGGGAAUUGUAGGGGAAGCUGUAGCCAUGCCUGCUAGGGCGUGGUCAGGGCGAUGUAGAGUGAGAGUUGGUCAGGUGGCUGGUUUCUGGUUUCAGUUUCAAUUUUGGCUUGCUGUACAGACUGCUGCCAUGCCAGCUGGCUAGGUCACUCUGUAAGUAAGGC